UGUUCCAGUGGAUAGCGCUUCCAAGGCAUCUCUACAAUUACACAUGUGAAGAGUACUUGGCUAUGGUACCCGUUACCUGUGACGCUCCGGUUACCUUAAGUGUACCUGACGUCAACGGCCUCGGAAAGUGCGCUCAGCGAAACAAGAUCGCAAACCUAUGCAUGGAAGGAGACAGUCUCACUUGGCAAACUUUUCUGGACCUGAUUAACUUGAUAAGGUGUGUCUACUUCAGCAUCAUACCUACCCUUCCAUUUCCGGAGUAUUGAGAAAGGUGCGACCUCGAAGGACGCACAAUGCAUCGUACCUUGCGCACCUGUAACCAUACCCACCUGUUUGUUUCCAAAGUAAAUAAAGUGCACAAAAUGCAACGAUU